AUUGAACGCUGGCGGCAGGCCUAACACAUGCAAGUCGAACGAGUGGCGGACGGGUGAGUAAUGUCUGGGAAACUGCCAGAUGGAGGGGGAUAACUACUGGAAACGGUAGCUAAUUCCGCAUACUAUCGGAUCUGCCCAGAUGGGCUUAGCUAGUUGGUGGGGUAAAGGCUCACCUAGGCAACGAUCCCUAGCUGGUCUGAGAGGAUGACCAGCAACACUGGAACGUAGACACGGUCCAGACUCCGACGGGAGGCAGCAGUGGGGAAUAUUGCACAAUGGGGGCAAGCCUGAUGCAGCCAUGCCGCGUGUAUGAAGAAGGCCUUCGGGUUGUAAAGUACUUUCAGCGGGGAGGCGUUACCCGCAGAAGAAGCACCGGCUAACUCCGUGCCAGCAGCCGCGGUAAUAC
rnacentral:rRNA from 1 species